AUCACCUACUCUUCUCACUCUCUCCAAACACCCUCCCUCUCUCUCUCUCUCUCUCUCUGGAUCUUCGUCGGAGAAGUCAGUCUGUAUAUACCCAAGUUUCUUAUCUGUUCUUGAUCUCAAAACGUCAAACACAACCCCCCCUCCACUUCGAACUUCAGUCGCGGGCUCACUUAUCAACAGGUCACCCAGUUUCUUGACCUUCUGUCAUACGGUUAUUCUGUUUAUAAUCUGUUGUUUCGAUUAUCAUCUACCAUUAAGAUUUGAGUCUUUUUUGUUUGUUUGUUUUUUUUAAAAUUUUAAUUGAUUUUUUUAAGCCCCUACAGCUUGAUUUUAUUUUCAACUGUUUGUCUCUCUUUCUUUUUCUCCCAUAUAAUUUCUGGUGAGAGUUGGAGAUCUCCAUAUAUUUCGUACUCACUUUGUUCCUUAAGAAAUAUUUGUAAAAUAAAAAGGGGUUUCUGUUUUACAACUGUUUUACUGUUCUAGGGUUCCAUUGGGUCAUCAUGUACCUUUUAACCACUUAUUGGGUGCCACGUCAGCAUGUUUUAGUGGUCUUAAAUUUGGAAAGUACACACGCCUCCACCAUCCCCCUCUUUUUCCUCCUUUACUUUCUAAUCCUCUUUCUAAUCGUCUUUCUUCCUGUAUGGAGUAUCCUUCUAUUCUUAAGUUGAGAACAAAUCUGCAUAUACAAUUCGCAACAGAAAGAUUGAAGAUUUCUAUCUCAUCUACGCCGGUGGAGCCUUCGGUUGAAAUCACAAGUCAUUGUUUGCAGGUGCGGCAUCACCAAGAUUCACAUGAAAAUUCCAAGGCAAUGAAAAUCUUGAUUGUUAAGAAAAUGAGAAUCUUGAUGAUGCUGCAUCAGCAAAUCGACGACUAUAAACUCUGCUUACGUAUACGCAUGGAAUAUGAUAUCCUUCUUUGCAUAAAUUAACAAGCUGUGAUUUCAGUGGAGGAUAACAGGGGCAAAACCACCAUGGUGGUGAUGGGAGGAGCAUCUCUUGGUGCCGCUGGUUAUCCACCAGAAGGGGCAACUGCUGCGAAGGGAAGGUGUCCUCUGGACCUAUGGUGUCUUAGAGGAGAGAGAGAGAGAGAUGGGAAAGAAAAUACAUAAAUUUUGAAUCUGCAUCUUGUGUCCGCAAUGGGAUUACAGCUUCCUAAAUCUGAACCAACCUCCCGUGACCCUUGGAUCAAACAUGGAUAGAAACUCUUAACUCUCGUCAAGAGUAAGACUUAGAAAUGAAAGGCUAAGAUUUAUAAAUAUGUAUAUAAGAUUCAAAAAUCGCCAUUCCUUAUUAUAUAGAUAGGACAACUGAAUGGAAGUAUUUGGAUGUGUUUGCGAUAGCUGUGGAUAUAGAUUUUAGAUUUUAUUUU